UACAGAGGUCUCGAGCGUUAGGCGGAAUCACUGGGCUUAAAGCGUGUGUAGGCGGAUCGUUAAGUACCUUGUGAAAUCUCCCGGCUUAACUGGGAGGGUGCGCCGAAAACUGGAAGGCUUGAGUAUGGGAGAGGUAAGCGGAAUUCCUGGUGUAGCGGUGAAAUGCGUAGAUAUCAGGAGGAACACCUGCGGUGUAGACGGCUUACUGGACCAUCACUGACGCUGAGGCACGAAAGCGUGGGUAGCAAACAGG
rnacentral:rRNA from 1 species